rnacentral:rRNA from 1 species
UACAGAGGGGGCAAGCGUUGUUCGGAAUUACUGGGCGUAAAGGGCGCGUAGGUGGCCUUCUAAGUUGAACGUGAAAUCCCUGGGCUCAACCCAGGAACUGCGUCCAAGACUGGGAGGCUUGAAUCCGGGAGAGGGAUGCGGAAUUCCAGGUGUAGCGGUGAAAUGCGUAGAUAUCUGGAGGAACACCGGUGGCGAAGGCGGCAUCCUGGACCGGUAUUGACACUGAGGCGCGAAAGCCAGAGGAGCAAACGGG